UACGUAGGGUGCAAGCGUUAAUCGGAAUUACUGGGCGUAAAGCGUGCGCAGGCGGUUGUGCAAGACCGAUGUGAAAUCCCCGGGCUUAACCUGGGAAUGGCAUUGGUGACUGUACGGCUAGAGUGUGUCAGAGGGGGGUAGAAUUCCACGUGGUAGCAGUGAAAUGCGUAGAGAUGUGGAGGAAUACCGAUGGCGAAGGCAGCCCCCUGGGAUAACACUGACGCCUCAUGCACGAAAGCGUGGGGAGCAAACAGG
rnacentral:rRNA from 1 species